rnacentral:misc_RNA from 1 species
UGAGUCUCUCCAUAUUUCUGGGCCAGUGGUUUCAUAAUGAAUCUUUGGAUUGGCAGGAUUGUCAAAUUGCCGAAGCAUAUGCCCAUUAGGUGUUUUACUUAGUAACUCGUCAGUCUUUUGAAGUAACCCAUUAAAGCCCUCUGCUGGAUCUGUAAGGUGAACCUCUGCUCCAAGAGCCCGUAGCACAAUUCUUCUCUCAAGACUCAUUGAAGCAGGCAUUGUGAGUAUAAGCUUGUAGCCCUUCACUG